rnacentral:rRNA from 1 species
UACAGAGGCCCCAAGCGUUGUUCGGAUUUACUGGGCGUAAAGGGUGCGUAGGCUGCGCGGAAAGUCUUUAGUGAAAGCCAGGGGCUCAACCCAUGAAUCGCUAACGAUACUACCGCGCUUGAGGUCUCAUAGGGGGGCUGGAAUUCACGGAGUAGCAGUGAAAUGCGUAGAGAUCGUGAGGAACACCAAAGGCGAAGGCAGGCCCCUAGAGAGAAACUGACGCUGAGGCACGAAGGCCAGGGUAGCAAACGGG